AUUGAACGCUGGCGGCAUGCCUUACACAUGCAAGUCGAACGGCAGCACGGGGGCAACCCUGGUGGCGAGUGGCGAACGGGUGAGUAACAUAUCGGAACGUGCCCUGGAGUGGGGGAUAACUAGUCGAAAGACUAGCUAAUACCGCAUACGAUCUACGGAUGAAAGUGGGGGAUCGCAAGACCUCAUGCUCGUGGAGCGGCCGAUAUCUGAUUAGCUAGUUGGNGGGGUAAAGGCCUACCAAGGCAUCGAUCAGUAGCUGGUCUGAGAGGACGACCAGCCACACUGGGACUGAGACGACGGCCCAGACUCCUACGGGAGGCAGCAGUGGGGAAUUUUGGACAAUGGGCGCAAGCCUGA
rnacentral:rRNA from 1 species